rnacentral:misc_RNA from 1 species
GAUGAAAACGUAGCGAAAUGCGAUAAGUAAUGCGAAUUGCAGAAUUCCGUGAGUCAUCGAAUCUUUGAACGCACAUUGCGCCCUCUGGUAUUCCGGAGGGCAUGCCUGUCUGAGCGUCAUUGUCAACCCUCAAGCUCAGCUUGCUGUUGGGUCCCCGUCGUUGCUUUAACGGCGGACCCGAAAGGUAAUGGCAGAGUCCGUGAGACCCUAGACGCAGCGAGCUUCUAGCACGCGUCUGGACGUUUUUCGGGCUCGGUCUUAACUAGAUGAUAACUUCCGAUUGACCUCAGAUCAGGUAGGGAUACCCGCUGAACUUAAGCAUAUCAAUAAGCGGAGGA